CAGCCGCCGCGGUAAUACGGAGGGUGCAAGCGUUAAUCGGAAUUACUGGGCGUAAAGCGCACGCAGGCGGUUUGUUAAGUCAGAUGUGAAAUCCCCGAGCUAAACUUGGGAACUGCAUUUGAAACUGGCAAGCUAGAGUCUUGUAGAGGGGGGUAGAAUUCCAGGUGUAGCGGUGAAAUGCGUAGAGAUCUGGAGGAAUACCGGUGGCGAAGGCGGCCCCCUGGACAAAGACUGACGCUCAGGUGCGAAAGCGUGGGGAGCAAACAGGAUUAGAUACCCCUGUAGUCCCUGUCUCUUAUAC
rnacentral:rRNA from 1 species